GUGGGGAAUAUUGGACAAUGGGCGAAAGCCUGAUCCAGCCAUGCCGCGUGUGUGAAGAAGGUCUUCGGAUUGUAAAGCACUUUAAGUUGGGAGGAAGGGCAGUAAGUUAAUACCUUGCUGUUUUGACGUUACCGACAGAAUAAGCACCGGCUAACUUCGUGCCAGCAGCCGCGGUAAUACGAAGGGUGCAAGCGUUAAUCGGAAUUACUGGGCGUAAAGCGCGCGUAGGUGGUUUUGUAAGUUGGAGGUGAAAUCCCCGGGCUCAACCUGGGAACUGCCUCAAAAACUGCAUGACUAGAGUACGGUAGAGGGUAGUGGAAUUUCCUGUGUAGCGGUGAAAUGCGUAGAUAUAGGAAGGAACACCAGUGGCGAAGGCGACUACCUGGACUGAUACUGACACUGAGGUGCGAAAGCGUGGGGAGCAAACAGGAUUAGAAACCCCUGUAGUCC
rnacentral:rRNA from 1 species